CCUACGGGAGGCAGCAGUGGGGAAUAUUGCGCAAUGGGCGAAAGCCUGACGCAGCGACGCCGCGUGAGGGAUGAAGGUUUUCGGAUCGUAAACCUCUGUUAGCAGGGAAGAACGGUUACUGUGCUAAUCAGCAGUGAAUUGACGGUACCUGCAAAGGACGCACCGGCUAACUCCGUGCCAGCAGCCGCGGUAAUACGGAGGGUGCGUGCGUUAAUCGGAAUUAUUGGGCGUAAAGCGCUCGUAGGCGGUAUUUCAAGUCUAGGGUGAAAUCCCCGCGCUCAACGUGGGAACUGCCGUUGAAACUGGCAAACUGGAGUGUGUGAGAGGAUAGUGGAAUUCGAGGUGUAGGGGUGAAAUGCGUAGAUAUCUGGAGGAACAUCGGUGGCGAAGGCGACUAUCUGGCACAUAACUGACGCUGAGGAGCGAAAGCGUGGGUAGCAAACAGGAUUAGAUACCCGAGUAGUC
rnacentral:rRNA from 1 species